AAAUGGAAACGUUCACUAAGAAAGCGUAAACAAUAAUGACGGGAAACUUUUUAAAAUUUACCGUCUAUAAUACAGUACAUAAAGGUGGCUCAGUCCCUAAUAGAAGCUGGGUGUUAUGUGUGUGUAAGUACAGGCAGAAAAAAAUGGGGCCCCUCUGCGCCCGUCUGCUCGCCCAGCAAAGCCCAUAAAGGUGGACCACAAGGCCGAGCUUGUGGAGAUAGCGUUCAAGAAGGGCUGAAUGAGCUGUGAGCGUAGGCUGAGAUCAUGUCAUUGAAAUGAGGUUGGCUGUCUGCCAUUCUUGACAUUAAUAAUAAUAAAAUUAAAUAUGAA